AUUCUGUGAUGAGGGCACUUUCGUAAUAAUUUUUUGUACCUUUCCCAUGCCUCAUACAAGGACUCAUCAUCCCUUUAUUGGAAGGCAGUGAUCUCAUUUCUCAACUU
rnacentral:snoRNA from 1 species